rnacentral:piRNA from 1 species
UCUGAGCACAAAGUCCUGGGAUCCCUUA